UACGUAGGGGGCAAGCGUUGUCCGGAUUUACUGGGCGUAAAGAGCGUGUAGGCGGCCAAGCAGGUCCGUUGUGAAAACUGGAGGCUUAACCUCCAGACGUCGACGGAAACCGCGCGGCUAGAGUCCGGAAGAGGAGAGUGGAAUUCCUGGUGUAGCGGUGAAAUGCGCAGAUAUCAGGAAGAACACCAAUGGCGAAGGCAGACUCUCUGGGACGGU
rnacentral:rRNA from 1 species